ACGAACGCUGGCGGCGUGCCUAAUACAUGCAAGUCGAGCGGACCAAACAGGAGCUUGCUCUUGUUUGGUUAGCGGCGGACGGGUGAGUAACACGUGGGUAACCUGCCCGUAAGACCGGGAUAACUCCGGGAAACCGGAGCUAAUACCGGAUAACACCGAAGACCGCAUGGUCUUUGGUUGAAAGGCGGCUUCGGCUGCCACUUACGGAUGGGCCCGCGGCGCAUUAGCUAGUUGGUGAGGUAACGGCUCACCAAGGCGACGAUGCGUAGCCGGCCUGAGAGGGUGACCGGCCACACUGGGGCUGAGACACGGCCCAGACUCCUACGGGAGGCAGCAGUAGGGAAUCUUCCGCAAUGGACGAAAGUCUGACGGAGCGACGCCGCGUGAGCGAAGAAGGUCUUCGGAUCGUAAAGCUCUGUUGUUAGGGAAGAAGAAGCGCCGUUCGAACAGGGCGGCGCGGUGACGGUACCUAACGAGAAAGCCCCGGCUAACUACGUG
rnacentral:rRNA from 1 species